rnacentral:misc_RNA from 1 species
CUGAGCGAUGGCAGUAAUUUUCGCAUUGAUAACUUGUUACAUCGCUCAUACGUUUCGUAAUUUUUAGCACAGUAGAAAGCCAGGAUAAAGGAAACUGAAGUGUUAUGAAUAACAAACAAUAUUGGAAGAUGUUGACGUAGCGCAGUGGGAGAGGUAUCACUAACUCGAUUAGGUACUCAAAUUGAGUUAUGAUUCCUUUGCAUAGGGCUCCAAUAUUUUUCUAAUUAGAAUAAAAUGUGGCACAUGGAUGUGAUGAACGGGUCCGAUUUGCCUCCAGUAAGCGAGGAUACAUUUUGUAAACACAUUUUAAAUUCGAGGAUAAAUAACUCAAGGGUCCGUAUUUGGGAUCUGAUUAUACUGAUACCGAACGCUCUGUUCGUGCUUUUCCUAGUAGUGAGGUUCAACAAGGCGCAGCUGAAGCUGCGAGCGACGAGUAGCCCUAUAUUCCUGACUUUUUAUUCGUUGGUGUGGGGCAACGUUAUAAUAAGUGUGGUGCGAUGUGCGGUGGCGAUGACGCUGAACGCGCCCAUGCCGCUGGGCGGGCAGGUGGACAAGGUGCUGUGGGUCAUGGUGAAGUUUUUUUUAUUGGCCACCGAGAUGAGUGUUGUAAUCUUCGGAUUAGCAUUUGGUCACAUGGAUAGCAGCAGCAGUAUAAGAUAUGUCUUGAUGGCAACAUCAUUCAUAUCUCUAGCUUUCACUAUAACUCAGGGAACGCUAGAGUUCAUGAAGACUGACGAUGCCACUCUGAUAGCGGGGGAUACGGACUUGUUUGAACAUGGUGGAGUGCUGUUCUGGUUCACUUUAUCGCUUGUGUUUGCGUUCAUCUAUUUUCUGAUAUUGAUAUUGCCAUGGACACCACUGAGAGAAUAUUUGGCCUUACCAACGAAACUGUCAUUCUACCUAUACAUCCUCCUACUGGCACUACUCGACGCGACGCAGGCCGCCGGCGCGGGCAUGUUACUGUGGGGCCCUAUACCCUCUGGUCUAUGCGUCGUGGACGUCACCACGUGGCUGUACUACUCUCUCUACACCCCGCUAGUCUACCACACGUUCCUGAGCGAGUUCUUCAGUGUAUCUCAGCCAAGCAUCAUGUUCUCAUACAAGGCGCAAAUGGAUGAACCUCUGGACGACGACCAAGUAUCGCUGCCGCACCAGCAAAGCUUCAGCUCUCUCAAAACGGAUUCCGAUUACAUCUACCAGCAAAGCAACAGCGUAUACGACAGCACCCUCUUCGAGGCCGGCGGCACGACCCCCAUGAAUCCCGUGUACUCCGCCUCGCUGCAGAGCCCGGACUCUAUCGCCUCCGCGCACUCCACAUAACGAUAAGGCCCUCCAAAGAUGUAGUCAUAACUUAGCGUAGGUCACCUCAAGGUUAACAAUGCGGACAAACUGCCAAAUAGAUGUAUUGACGAUAUAUAUGUUAUGGAUACAUAUUUUUGGCUUGUCCGCAUAUAUAUUUAAUACCUGUGCGGACGACGUUUUUGGGACUAGUGUGAUGUAUAUUAUUUUUGACAGAAGUAAACUCAAACCACGUGAUAGAAUAACAGUUUGAGGACCCUAAUUAGUCCAAACUGCCAAUUCACCUUAUUACAAUGGAGGUGAUGAAAGUACCCUCUUCGAAGCCGGCGGCACGACACAUAACGAUAAGGUCCUCCAAAGGUGUAGUCUUAACAUAGCGUAGGUGAGCUCCAGGUGUUUAAUAUAGAUACAAACAGCGUGCCAAAUAUAUGUAUAGACGACAUUACGUUGAGGUUGUUGAUACAUAUUUUUGGCACUUUGUCCACAUAUAUAUUGAAAUACCUUGACUGUAGGUGCGGACGACGUUUUUGGGACUAGUGUGACGUAUUAUAUUUUUGACAAAAGUAAAACCGCGUGAUUAAAUAACAGUUUGAGGGCCCUCAUUCGUCCAAACUGCCAUUUCACCUUAUCACAAUGGAGGUGAUGAAAGGUAUGAAAGCACUCUCUUCGAAGCCGGCCGGGAGUAAAGCCACGUUAUAAAAUGACAGUUUGAGGAACGUAAUUUGUCGAUUUGCAAUGAAUUAUUAUGAAAAAAUAUGUUUGAACUCGACUGUACAACAUUUUCUAGUAUCAAAGAGCGGUCCUAUCAUAGAGAUAAGUUACAGCUGAUAAGACAGAUUUUAGUUUGAACCCAGAACCAUAUCAACAUGCAACAAAUUAGGUAUUAUAGAUGAAUUAAUCGAGCAAUUUAAAUAAAAUAUUUUUACCCCAAAAACGUUAACGUCUGCUUAGUACCAUCAUAGACAAAGAAAUAAAAAGACACACAGAGUUAAAAAUACUGUCAACGAAUUUAUCACGGUUUCUACAGCUAUACUAAAUGUCAUUGUAACUCUUUAAACAAACAUUGUGUGAAGCCAUACGGCGCCAUCAAGUUCUUUGCAAUGUCUACAAUAGUUUUAGCCGCUUUCUGUGUCUUAUUAUUUCUUGUCUAUAUAUCGUGUAACGAUUAGGUAUAAACUAGUGCUACUUAAACUUAUCUCGAUCCAUUUCUAAUAUUAUUUUCUAUUGACCAUUAUGUAAAUACAUUUAUUUUUGUGAUAUCGUGAGCCAGUGAUCAAACGAAUGACCAGACUGUGACACCGUUUCUGCUUAACUUUAACGCGGUUACACAGAUAGGCUGGAUUUAAUGUCACGCGGACCGACCGCGCGAAGAGAUCCGCACCGGACUAAUAUGUAUUACGUUCAGGGAGUGUUUUAGAGUAAAGCGGACGGGUCUGCGCGGACGACAACAUGAACUUCAUACAAAUUGGUCGCGCUGAUCGCUCCGCGUGGUCAGUCCGCGUGACACUAAAACCAGCCAUAUAUCGUAUGUGGCUCGGGUUUGAGAGCGAGAAAGGUGACAAGCUGAUAGCUUUAUCCAAAGGAUGUUUAUUUUACUGAUAAUUAGCACUAUUUCACUUAAAUAUUCACCUCAAAAAUAUCUAAGGGCAGAAAAAAAGCAUCCGUUGUAGCGAUUUUCCGCUCGCACACCGGAGUUACAUCCGCAUCUGUACACCGCGUAAUAUAAUGUUAUAUAAUGGAUCCAUCCAUGUGACAGUAGAUAUAUAUUAGCAGCUUAAGAUAAUAUGUAAACAAUGCUGUGACAUAGUGAUUAUUGUAAUCUUCAGAUGUUGGCUUUUUGCUUGAGAUUCUAUGCGCUUGGACUUUGCAAAUUCGAAACUAAACCAUUCGCUGUAGCGUAAGGUACUUAUUUAACUUUAAUAUUAAUACAGCUCACACGUCGAAGUAGAUUAGGCGAGUCCAUACAAACCGAGCAGCAGGAGGCAAUUGCGCGGCAAAUGACUUAUGUAGACGUGCCUCGGCCGACGCAACACGCUCCGUUGAGGUAAACUCGCGCGAUGCAAGACACAACUACAUUUGCCGCGCCCGAGGCAAUUGCCUCGCGACACUGCUCGCUCGGUGUGGACUGUGUACCUGGCCUAUUUCUAUUAUUUUUUGCUCAGUAUAUUGUUAUUAUUGUUUGGUAUAAUUUUACAAAAUAUUUUUUUAUUAUUUUGCUCUCCUUAAAAAGCAGUGAAACUGCGUCGAUACAUGGUCAACUUUGAAUUUAACCCAUAUUUAUCCGCCUAUAAUAUGUAGGGUAUCUGGAUAGGUACCUGUCAUUGAUAGUGUAGAUAUACGUCAUUGAUUAUGGUUGGUAAUCAUUGACAACUAGUCAGCCAUUCUAAAUCAUGUUUUCAAUGAAUUUAUUAUACUUAUUAUAUUUAUUUGUUUUUUACUGGAGGAUUACCGCGCAAUUUAGCUAUCUGAAUCUUUUCCACUCGAAUAUUACAAUUACGUAUUUUAUGCGAAUGCAAGCCCAGCCCACUAUAUGGUAUGAGUUUCAAAUUUGCAGUUAGUAAAGCAAAAUCCCAUUUCGAUUCUGAUUCUAAUCCCUCCAAUAAGAUAGGAUAGCUAUCAAGUCAAUUGAUAAAUGGUGACGCCUUUCAAAAUAUUUUAGGACAACGCUAACUUUUCUUAACCAGUUCAGUUCACUUAUAAGUGACAUAGGUCUAAAUCAAUAUAAUGGCAAUUAUUUUUUUCCUCAUUAGCACUCACUUUUGCAGUUUUAUUGCUACUUUUGUAUUGAUAUAAGGUUAAGCGUGCCAAUGAUUGUAAAUAGGCGCGUUUUAAUGUUUGUAAUGCGUAAUAUAAGUCAGAAAAAAGUGUAAAGGUUGUUGGGUGAAUAUAGCACAUAACUAAUCAUAAAAUACUGGUAAUACUAGCCUGGUUUAGUAAAUUAUUUCUAAAGAUAAAAUUUCACCUACUUGAGUAAGUAAAUUUUAAUAAACUUCUACGUUUACUUUAGAUCCAAAAAAAUGUACCUACCUGAAUGAAUGAUUAAUAAAAUAAAACUAUUUGUUCCAUGACUGUUGACAAAUAAAUACUUUUUUCUAAUAGAUUGGCAGUGAUCAGGUUGGAUAGGCCCCCAAUUUGGCUCUUUUCGGUGUAAUAAAAUUAGGAAUGAUAUUUUAAAGAGAUCUAUUGUACUCGAAAUUUAAAGGCUUAAUGGAAGAUAAUCUCAAAUUGUUAUUGUCUAGAUAUGUUUGACUAAAAUGGUUGAAUUUAUUUACAAUUACAUUAUUUGUAUACAAUCUUUUGAUCAGAGUUGCAUGAAUGUUAGAUUUAUAAGACUUAGUAUUUCUUGCGUUCAUAUCAUUUUGUUAACAUAUCUUGAUUGUUACGUAGUUAAAAUCAAAGCAAUAGAUAUAUUCAAAAGUUAUGUGCAAACUUUAACUAUAUUGAUGACAAGUAUCAAAAUGACUUUAGACAAAAAUCAUUCCUUUUUAAGAUGGACGUUUGUAAUUAAGGCCCAUCUACUUUUAAACAAGUUAAACAAAGACCCAGUGUCCUAAAAUUAAUCAUUCUAUUUUAAAAUUUAUGACUCCACACUAGGCUUAAUUUUUUUGUAAUUUAACUAUUAAGUCCUUUACAUUUUUCACUAUUUUGUCCUUACAAAAAUAACUUUAGACCACCGAAACUUAUCUAAUUCAGAUUUUUCAUUUAUCUUAGAGUCCAGUGUAACUUAUUUUAAAAUUCACAACACUACCUGUAUAAACCCUAAGGUAUCCUAAGGUCCAGUAUUUUAGCUCUAGCUAGAGUCUAGAGAAUAGGCAGAGUAAGAAUUCAUCUCACAAGCCAUUUACUAUAAUCUCAUAUCCACGAAUAAUAAGAUUUAAACAUUUCUAUUAAAACAGUGCAGAUUUUUAUAAAACGUAUGAUUGAAAUUAUUUGAAGACACGAUAUGGCAAUUUCAUUCUCUUGGCAUAAGCCACACAGUGCGAGGCAAUUUCCUCGCGCGGCAAACGCGCUAUGUAGAUAUGCCUCGGCCGACGCAGUUCAGACUAUACUGACUCACCCGAGGCAGUUUGCUCGUCAGACUAUACUGACUCACCCGAGGCAGUUUGCUCGUCAGACUAUACUAACUCACCCGAGGCACGUCUAGAUUGGACGUUUGCUGCACGAGCACAUUGCCUCCGCUCUGUGUGGAGACGAGAUUUUAAUAGAUUAUUUGAUUGUGCUUGUAUCAAAUAAUUUCAAAUGAUACUCUAGGUAGUUGUUUAAGUACCGAUAUUUCUUUAGUAUGGUAAAGUUUAUCAUCUAUGUAAAGCAUUCAUUUCUUUCUAACUUUUUAAAUGUGAGAGAGAUAGAUGCUUUUCGUCGAUGAUAAUGGUAUCUUGUAAAUUGUCUAGUUUCGCUAAGAUAGUGCUGUAAAGUGUAUUGUGAUUGAUACCAAUUGGUUUUAUAUUGUACUGUGAUGGUAUGCCUACUAAUUUAUUUUUGUUGAGUUUUCUAAUUUUUUUUCUGUUUAAUGAAGUAAUCUCGAAUAUUGAAUCUAUUGUAUUAGAAGUAGUGGACUUAAGGUUGGUGAUUUCUAUUUGGUUUGCGCAAAAUAAAAACUUAACCAGACCUAAGGCUACAGUGACAGAAUGUGAAAGUGUCAAAUUUCUAUUAAAUUUUGACGUGUCCUGACGCUUUCACACUUUGUCACUUUAAUGUCGAGGCUGAGUUAGUUGAGCAUUUCUUUUUUUUUUUGCCAAUAAAAAAUUUUGAUUGUUUUAGGGAAUUUUAGGUCAAUUGUACUUAGAAUCACGAGUACUUUCAAUCUCACUGGGAGACAAAAAGUGUCCCAGAAUUUCCAUCAUAUAUUUUUUUUUUUUCAAAAAUAUCACACCUCAUAAAAGUGGCAAAAAAAAAGAAAUGCUCAGUUAGCCUUUCAGUCCUUUCACACGUCUUAGUGUUACGCCUGAGUGGAUGCUCGAAGCGUUCGGUUCGGCGGGGCGGGCGGGCGUGCGUCCAUCCUAUGUAGCGUCGACUCAGGACACUUGUAUGACAUGCACGCAGGCCGCCCCGCCCGCUGCACGCCCAUUAUGAGCGUGCACUCACGCCUUAGGGACCGUCCACACUCAUAAGACGCAUGUCUUGCGGCGCGCAACGGACGUCUCCGCCGCGCCGCCUGGGGGCGCGUCUUACGUCCUUCCUAUACAAAAUGUUCUGAAGAGACGUUUUUUGAAUUACAUUCAGGCGGCGUGUCGGAGACGUCCGUUGCGCGCCGCGAGACACGCGACGCUUUGGGGACGCUACCUUACACUUACUUGAGUUACUGUAGAAAAUACUCAGCUAUAGGUAACAGUGAGAUGCAGAUAUCUUUUGUAUUUAUCUGUAUAGCUGCGUCCCUUUCAUCGGUUACUUAAAGAGUAAGGUGUGUGAAGCGUUUUAAACAGGCUUUCAUCACAUCACAUUACGCUUUAGGUCUGGUAGAGGCUCAUAUACAUUGAUUCCUUUAUCAAAUUUAAAAUUCUGCCUUGAUUUUUGAAUAUGGAAUUUGACCCAGUGUAUACACGCCCUAAACUUUAAAGCUUAUUUUACAUUAUAAAUCACGAAACGUCGAAGCUCAUUUAGAGUAGAUAGUUUAGAUCGCGUUUCGAUA